GGAUAGGGUAUAUAAACGAAAAAAAAAACGAAACGUACAUUCAUAUUGUUCAUUUGCUUUUGAGACAUAACAUCAAUUAAAUACGACGAUUGAUCUCAAUUCAUACGUUCAUAACUGCUUUAGAGGGAUAAUAUCAUUGAUAGACGCAAGUGAAUAAAUAAGUGCACUACGUUACAUACAAAUUAAAUGCCAGAAAUUAACGACUUCAAGGAGUUGAACAACAGAAUUAGAAGCUUCGCCAACUGGAGCUUCCUUUCUGAUUCCUCCAAACUUGCUAAUGCAGGAUUUUAUGCAACAGUGGCAGAUUGCGACGGAGUACUGGGGACCGGAGUAUUACACGUAUUACACGUAUGAAUUUUCUCUUAUAUACGCGUCCCCUGCCUUCCUCGAUAUAAUUCAACCGAACUGUUUAUAGUUCAUCAAACCUAAUAUCAAAUUGUUAUAUAUCUACACAUAUGAUGUAAGUAUGUAAAAAUAAUGAACAUUGGCUUAUUAUGAGUUAUUACUAGAACUAAAAAUUAUCCAAUAAAUCGACUUAUGUGUAAGGUUAUAUUGAACUGAUAUUAAUUUUGCAUCUACAGGAUACCACGACCUUGUUCGAUGUUAUGCAUGCGGUCUUGGGCUAAGAUAUCUAAACGCCGAUGAUGACCCGCUAUCAGAGCAUAUUAAAAACUGCACGUCAUCGUGCGCCUUCCUGAACGAGCUCGCAGGCGAACAUCAAGAUCUUAAUGCUGAAGAGCCGGAUAUAUCAGACACCGAGGAGGAGCUAGAACAGCUAGAAGAGCAAAAUGAUCGACUAAGGGAAAGAACUACAUGCAAAAUUUGUCGAGAGAGACAGGCGAUAAUCUUGCUGCUGCCUUGUAGUCAUCUAGCCGCAUGCGUGCAAUGUGGAUCAAACUUAUCCAUCUGUCCAGUAUGUAGCAGACCAGUCGUGGAGACGAUCAAGACGUUCCUGGGUUGAGGCUAGUGAUGAUCUAUUCAAUAAUCCCUCGGAUAACAUGAGAACAUCUCCAUUGACCAUCGUCCUCAGUUUCGUUGGAUUAAUGUGACCUGACGUAUAACCGUCUUGUUUAAUAGCUUUUAAUACACUUAUUUAUAGAGUUAUAAAUUCAAAGCAAAGACAUGAUGUCUUAAAAACUAAUAGUGUGUAGCAAACCAGUUAAUGAGUCGGUAAAGACUUUCCUAGUGUGAAUCUACCGAUGAUCUAUUCAACAGAUGCACGGAAAGCGUGGGAACAUCACCAUUUUCCGUCGUCGUCAGAUCUUGUGGAUUAAAGGGACCUUACAUUUUACAGUUGUUUGAUGUUUUGCAAUGUUUACUUCCGUCCAUUUAAUAUGCAAAUAUGAAGUUUAUAACGUAUUGUUAAUAAAAUAUGCUGUAUAA